ACUCCUACGGGAGGCAGCAGUGGGGAAUAUUGCACAAUGGGCGCAAGCCUGAUGCAGCCAUGCCGCGUGUGUGAAGAAGGCCUUCGGGUUGUAAAGCACUUUCAGUCGUGAGGAAGGUAGUGUAGUUAAUAGCUGCAUUAUUUGACGUUAGCGACAGAAGAAGCACCGGCUAACUCCGUGCCAGCAGCCGCGGUAAUACGGAGGGUGCAAGCGUUAUCCGGAAUCAUUGGGUUUAAAGGGUUCGCAGCGGUCAAUUAAGUUAGAGGUGAAAUCCUAUAGCUUAACUNUAAACUGCCUUUGAUACGGUUGACUUGAGUUAUACGGAAGUAGGUANAAUGUGUAGUGUAGCGGUGAAAUGCAUAGAUAUUACACAGAAUACCGAUUGCGAAGGCAGCCUACUACGUAUAUACUGACGCUCAUGGACGAAAGCGUGGGGAGCGAACAGGAUUAG
rnacentral:rRNA from 1 species